GAAACUUGCCUCAAGAUGAGAUCUCACUGGGAACUUGAUUCCCCUGAAGGGCCGUCGAAGACUACGACGUUGAUAGGCUGGGUGUGUAAGCGUUGUGAGGCGUUGAGCUAACCAGUACUAAUUGCCCGUGAGGCUUGACCAUAUAACACCCAAACA
rnacentral:rRNA from 1 species